AACAAGCGAUCAAGGCCCAACUAUCAUCGGGCUAUAAGCCCAUAACAUGACCCCAUACGAGAUUUCGUUAAGAUCCAUGGCCGAAGUCUGACAUGGCGAUGAUGAUGACUCGUGACCGAAAUUAAGGAUUUACGAGACAAAGAUGAUGAUGACGUCAUCUUAACUAAUGGGACCACACAAGUCAUGAUUCAGGGUUUUUUUCGGCAUAUUUCUUGAAUAACAUCUGCCAUCCGGGGACUCAUACGUCGCCGUUUAGCUCAAGUGCUUGGAAGAAUUCCUAUGCGUGCUGCCCAUACUGUAACCUUCUUCACCGGUCCAACAAAAAAUUUUCGAACCCGCUCGGCGGAGAUGGCGUCAUCGGCUCAACCGAUUGCCUCUUCCGCCGGUGAGGGCAUAUCCGCCACCGCAUUCGAAUUCUCCGGUGCAUCAGCCGCUUCCUUUACCUUCUCCGGUCGCUGCCUUUUUCAAACUUCGAGGGUUUGGUAAAUGGCUCUAUCGAUUCCGAAGAGCCUGCGAAAGUCCCUUUUAGGAUCCUAAUACUGCAACCGCUGAAGAAGUCGCCUGUUGACUUCUUUUCUUUUCUUCUUCUGAGAUCAGUUGGACAAGAAUAUGAUAUACACGGUCACCAUCAUCGACAUUCCUCCGCAAGUCAAGCGGAAAAUUCAAUAUAAUAUUGGUUGUUAGUUUAAGAUGUCUGUAGCUAAACAGAGACAUGAGCUCCUGACAUCAAAAUAUCCAGGUACUCCGAGACUGUGCUUGCUUGAUCAAUGAUUUCUUACUACUUAGGUGAGGAAUAAGCUCAGAUUGGGUGCAAACGACUUCUAGAAAACCUAAGUCAUCAUCUUUCGAGCAUGACAGACAGUAUACAUGUCUCUGAUGAUGUAUGAUAGAGGAACAGAGGUGCCCACCGUUGGUGGCUAUCCGUAUUUGUUCUGACCUCGGGAUCCUUCUAUGUCAUGACUCUCCUCGCUAUCACCAUCCCUUAUAUUUCGCCUUACACUUUGAGGCCCUUCCUCUUCCGCCACGUGCUUCGCUAUCCCUAUUCAUUUUUGGUGUUCUUUGCCGAAUGGAAGCAUGGUGGUGAUGACGAUUAUGCGGCCUGUUUGCCGCUGGUGCAACCCCAAGAUUGAGGAAUGAUCCCUCAUUCAAGGUUUGAAGGUGGUUCUGUUCAGAAGGUUUUGCUUUCUAGUUUCCAUAUCUUAGCUUUUUUUUUUUUUUUUUGGUUAACUAAUAUCUUAGCAUGGAUAGCGAUGUACAUGAUCUUCUAAUCUCUGUAAUGACAACUGUAAUCCAUCAGUGAGCAUAGCGGGGAUAGCUCA